AUGGAGAUGAGGAUUCUUUCCCCGAAUGAUCGACAAUGAUUCCAUUCGACUGCAUCAUCUCAUUAGAGAUUAAGCCAGAUUAUCUGAUCCAU